rnacentral:pre_miRNA from 1 species
AAGAUACUACCUCCAUCCCAAAAUUCUUGUCUUAGAUUUAUCUAGAUGUGAAUGUAUCUGGUCACGUUUUAGUAUUUAGAUACAUUUAUUUUUAGACAAACCUAAGACAAGAAUUUUGAGACGGAGGGAGUAUAAA